rnacentral:rRNA from 1 species
UGGGGAAUUUUGCACAAUGGGGGUAACCCUGAUGCAGCGACGCCGCGUGAUUUAGAAGGCCUUCGGGUUGUACAAAUCUUUUCUAUGGGAAGAAAAUGACAGUACCAUAGGAAUAAGGACCGGCUAAUUACGUGCCAGCAGCCGCGGUAAUACGUAAGGUCCGAGCGUUGUCCGGAAUCAUUGGGCGUAAAGGGUACGUAGGCGGGUAAGCAAGUUAGAAGUGAAAUCCUAUAGCUCAACUAUAGUAAGCUUUUAAAACUGCUCAUCUUGAUGUAUGUAAGGAAAGGUGGAAUUCCUAGUGUAGCGGUGAAUUGCGCAGAUAUUAGGAGGAAUACAGGUGGGGAAGGCGAGUUUCUGGCCGUGCCCUGACGCUGAAGUACGAAAGCGUGGGUAGCGAACAGG